rnacentral:rRNA from 1 species
GACGAACGCUGGCGGCAUGCCUAACACAUGCAAGUCGAACGGAACUUUUUCGAAUGAUUUCUUCGGAAUGAUUUUGGCUAAGUUUAGUGGCGGACGGGUGAGUAACGCGUGAGUAACCUGCCUUCGAGAGGGGAAUAACAAUCUGAAAAGAUUGCUAAUACCGCAUAACAUAGUGAGGUCGCAUGGCUUUGCUAUCAAAGAUUUUAUCGCUCGAAGAUGGACUCGCGUCCGAUUAGUUAGUUGGUGAGGUAACGGCUCACCAAGACCGCGAUCGGUAGCCGGACUGAGAGGUUGAACGGCCACAUUGGGACUGAGACACGGCCCAGACUCCUACGGGAGGCAGCAGUGGGGGAGUAUUGCGCAAUGGGGGCAACCCUGACGCAGCAAUGCCGCGUGAAGGAUGAAGGUUUUCGGAUUGUAAACUUCUUUUAUUAAGGACGAACAAUGACGGUACCUGGAGAAAAAGACAACGGCUAACUACGUG